CGUGGAUGAAGGAGCGCUUGGAGUGGACGAAGAAGACGUCAGGAACCCAAAUCUUCUUCACGAGCCUCGAGUCAAACGUCCUGCUCAGGUUGUUUCGGGACGGAAACGCCAACCGCUCAUCUUUCCAGUAGUGACGCAGUUUUAUUUUGGGGGUUUUGGCGCUGAAAAGGCUCAGAAAUCAGUGCCAGUAAAGAAAGAGAUGGACAUUUUCCUGCAGCAGCCCGAGGACAUGAUGACAAUGAGCACCAUCCUCUCCACCAUUCAUCUCUCUCGGCUGCAGGAACUCGAUAAAGCACUUGUAAGUUCAUCACUACAGCUCGGAGUGAUUCGAUCCUCACCAUGUUGACCUCUGAGAUGCUGUCGAUGCUCUCCACCUGCACGUCGAUGCCAACAGGGAUGGCGGCGCCUGAAGCCAAGAUGAGAACAUCAUCAGUUUUAAAGUCAUGAAUCAAGGCAACAUCAGAACAGCCUUCGGGAAAACAUUCACUCUCCUCAGAUCUCCACAGGCCGGCAGCUCAAUGAACACUUUAUUUAAUGAAGUUCAUCUGACAGCCAGGACCGUAAAGCUCCCGCCGCAGGCCGGCUUUGUCCCGCCGUGACUCGUAAAAAAACCACCAGCGGUGCAGACUCAACAUUUAGAGUAACCCAGACAACGAGUGCUGUUUGUGGGAAAAACCUGAGACAGAAGGUCACUCUCUCUCUCUCUCUCUCUCUUUUUCCUUCUCCCAUGUGACACCCCGUCAGAUUGAGUUUAAAGCAGGUUGUUUAUGGGGAGACACGUGCAAAAGGAGGUCAUAUGAUGAUUCACCGCCGUUUUGUGUUUGGACAGAUGUCAGAAGUGAGACUCAUCAACACCUUUACUUCCUGUUUGGACGAAACCAUCUGCUAACCUGGAUCUACUUCCUGUGACUGUCGAGCUAAUGAUGCUGCACUUCUGCACCGAUAUCAGUCCAUAUUCACCUCCUGCAGCAUUUGGUAGCAAAACUAAAGGAACUACUAUCCUGUAAACAAAAUGUACUUUUUUUUACCAGCUGACAAAAAUAUAAUAUCUGUACUUUUUCAUUAUACAACACAGGGUUGUACAACAAAAUGGUAAAGCAAAGGUUUGUAAACUGUAAACUGUUUGUGUCGGGAUGAUAAUGUCAUCUGUGUUUUAAUAUUAAAAAGUUCAACA